GCCGGGCGCAGUGGCGGGCGCCUGUAGUCCCAGCUACUCGGGAGGCUGAGGCAGGAGAAUGGCGUGAACCCAGGAGGCAGAGUUUGCAGUGAGCCGAGAUCACGCCACUGCACUCCAGCCUGGGUAACAGAGCCAGACUCUGUCUCAA
ensembl:misc_RNA Metazoa_SRP Metazoan signal recognition particle RNA